rnacentral:rRNA from 1 species
GACGAACCGUGCGAACGUUGUUCGGAAUCAUUGGGCUUAAAGGGCGCGUAGGCGGGCCCGCAAGUCAGGGGUGAAAUCCCACGGCUCAACCGUGGAAGUGCCUCUGAUACUGCGGGCCUCGAGGGGGGUAGGGGCGUGCGGAACUUCCGGUGGAGCGGUGAAAUGCGUAGAGAUCCGGAAGAACACCAGUGGCGAAGGCGGCCCGCUGGGCAGUGGCUGACGCUGAGGCGCGACAGCGUGGGGAGCAAACAGG